CCCGAGCAGGCCGCGGUCGUCCAGGUGGAGGUGUCCAAGGUUCCCGAGGCGGUGCCCGAUGCCGAGGUCGUUCCCGAGGCGGUGUCCUUGUCCGAUGCCAUUCCCGAGGCGGUGCCCGAUGCCGAGGUCGUUCCCGAGGCGGGGUCCUUGUCCAACGCCGUUCCUGAGGCCAUUCCUGAGGCCAUUCCUGAGACCGUUCCCGAGGCGGUGUCCUUGUCCGAUGCCGUUCCUGAGGCCAUUCCCGAGGCGGUGCCCGAUGCUGUUCCGGAGGCCGAUGCGGGGCCCGAGAUGGUUCCGGAGGCGAUACCCGUGUCCAAGGCCGUUCCCGAGGCGGUGCCCUUGUCUGAGGCCGUUCCCGAUGCCGUUCCCAAUGCCGUGACCUGGCCAUCGCCACAGCCUGCUCCUUACUGGCUCCCCGAUUGGCAGGUUCCGUUCGGGCCACUCAAAUGGCGAAUUCCUCCCUGGCCGUCUGCACAACGAGAAUGGACUGAUCCACCGUGGCCACCUGAACUGCCUGGCCCCUCGUGGUCCCCUG
ensembl:lncRNA